GACAGAGGGUGCAAACGUUGUUCGGAACUACUGGGCGUAAAGCGCGUGUAGGCGGCCUUGCAAGUCGGAUGUGAAAGCCCUCGGCUCAACCGGGGAAGUGCACCCGAAACUGCAAGGCUCGAGUUCCGGAGAGGAUAGUGGAAUUCUCGGUGUAGAGGUGAAAUUCGUAGAUAUCGAGAGGAACACCGGUGGCGAAGGCGGCUAUCUGGACGGUGACUGACGCUGAGACGCGAAAGCGUGGGGAGCAAACAGG
rnacentral:rRNA from 1 species